rnacentral:rRNA from 1 species
UACGAAGGGGGCUAGCGUUGUUCGGAAUUACUGGGCGUAAAGAGCUCGUAGGUGGUUUGUCGCGUUGUUCGUGAAAACUCACAGCUUAACUGUGGGCGUGCGGGCGAUACGGGCAGACUUGAGUACUGCAGGGGAGGACUGGAAUUCCUGGUGUAGCGGUGGAAUGCGCAGAUAUCAGGAGGAACACCGGUGGCGAAGGCGGGUCUCUGGGCAGUAACUGACGCUGAGGAGCGAAAGCGUGGGGAGCGAACGG